ACGAACGCUGGCGGCGUGGAUAAGACAUGCAAGUCGAACGAGAGAAUUGCUAGCUUGCUAAUAAUUCUCUAGUGGCGCACGGGUGAGUAACACGUGAGUAACCUGCCCCCGAGAGCGGGAUAGCCCUGGGAAACUGGGAUUAAUACCGCAUAGUAUCGAAAGAUUAAAGCAGCAAUGCGCUUGGGGAUGGGCUCGCGGCCUAUUAGUUAGUUGGUGAGGUAACGGCUCACCAAGGCGAUGACGGGUAGCCGGUCUGAGAGGAUGUCCGGCCACACUGGAACUGAGACACGGUCCAGACACCUACGGGUGGCAGCAGUCGAGAAUCAUUCACAAUGGGGGAAACCCUGAUGGUGCGACGCCGCGUGGGGGAAUGAAGGUCUUCGGAUUGUAAACCCCUGUCAUGUGGGAGCAAAUUAAAAAGAUAGUACCACAAGAGGAAGAGACGGCUAACUCUGUGCCAGCAGCCGCGGUAAUACAGAGGUCUCAAGCGUUGUUCGGAAUCACUGGGCGUAAAGCGUGCGUAGGCUGUUUCGUAAGUCGUGUGUGAAAGGCGCGGGCUCAACCCGCGGACGGCACAUGAUACUGCGAGACUAGAGUAAUGGAGGGGGAACCGGAAUUCUCGGUGUAGCAGUGAAAUGCGUAGAUAUCGAGAGGAACACUCGUGGCGAAGGCGGGUUCCUGGACAUUAACUGACGCUGAGGCACGAAGGCCAGGGGAGCGAAAGGGAUUAGAUACCCCUGUAGUCCUGGCAGUAAACGGUGCACGCUUGGUGUGCGGGGAAUCGACCCCCUGCGUGCCGGAGCUAACGCGUUAAGCGUGCCGCCUGGGGAGUACGGUCGCAAGAUUAAAACUCAAAGAAAUUGACGGGGACCCGCACAAGCGGUGGAGUAUGUGGCUUAAUUCGAUGCAACGCGAAGAACCUUACCUGGGCUUGACAUGUAAUGAACAACAUGUGAAAGCAUGCGACUCUUCGGAGGCGUUACACAGGUGCUGCAUGGCCGUCGUCAGCUCGUGUCGUGAGAUGUUUGGUUAAGUCCAGCAACGAGCGCAACCCCUGUUGCCAGUUACCAGCACGUGAAGGUGGGGACUCUGGCGAGACUGCCCAGAUCAACUGGGAGGAAGGUGGGGACGACGUCAGGUCAGUAUGGCCCUUAUGCCCAGGGCUGCACACGUACUACAAUGCCCAGUACAGAGGGGGCCGAAGCCGCGAGGCGGAGGAAAUCCUAAAAACUGGGCCCAGUUCGGACUGUAGGCUGCAACCCGCCUACACGAAGCCGGAAUCGCUAGUAAUGGCGCAUCAGCUACGGCGCCGUGAAUACGUUCCCGGGUCUUGUACACACCGCCCGUCACACCAUGAGAGUUGGGGAUACCCGAAGCCUGUGAGCCAACAGUUAAAUGAGGCAGCAGUCGAAGGUAGAAUCAAUGAUUGGGGUG
rnacentral:rRNA from 1 species